rnacentral:rRNA from 1 species
UACAGAGGUGGCAAGCGUUGUUCGGAAUUACUGGGCGUAAAGGGCGCGUAGGCGGUUCGUUAAGUCCUGUGUGAAAUCCCCCGGCUCAACUGGGGAACUGCACAGGAAACUAGCAGGCUUGAAUCCGGGAGAGGGAUGCGGAAUUCCAGGUGUAGCGGUGAAAUGCGUAGAUAUCUGGAGGAACACCGGUGGCGAAGGCGGCAUCCUGGACCGGCAUUGACGCUGAGGCGCGAAAGCCAGGGGAGCAAAGCGGG